rnacentral:rRNA from 1 species
GAUGAACGCUGGCGGCGUGCCUAAUACAUGCAAGUCGAGCGAACAGACGAGGAGCUUGCUCCUCUGACGUUAGCGGCGGACGGAUGAGUAACACGUGGAUAACCUACCUAUCAGACUGGGAUAACUUCGGGAAACCGGAGCUACUACCGGAUAAUAUAUUGAACCGCAUUGUUCAAUAGUUAAAGACGGUUUUGCUUUCACUUAUAGAUGGCUCCGGGCCCGAUUAGCUAGUUGGUAAGGUGACGGCUUACCAAGGCAGCGAUGGGUAACCGACCUGAACGGGUGAAUGGCCAGCCGGGAAGAGAGACUCGUUCCAGACACCUACGCUGGGCAGCAGUAGGGAAUCUUACGCGAUGGGCGAAAGCCUGACGGAGCAACGCCGGGUGAGGGAUGAAGGUCUACGGAUCGUAGAACGCUGUUAUUAGGGAAGAACAAAUGUGUAAGUAACUAUGCACGUCUUGACGGUACCUAAUCAGAAAGCUACGGCUAACUACGUG